UCAGGUCACAAAGGCUGCCCAGGCAGCGCGCGAGCCAGAGUCCCAACCCUGCAAGUGCCAGGCUCGCUGCUGCCUCUAAUGCAUCCGUCCCCUGAGCCAAUGCGCGGUGGGAGACCAGGCAACAGCUCGAAAGCAGCAGAGAAUUACUGGGCACCCAUCGGAAAGCUGAAAUCAACGAUGUCACAGGACCCCUGAAAACACACAGCAAAUGGAGUUUGUUUUUCCAAGCUACUUCCCAAGUUUUGGGAAGAAAAGGAACACACAUCUGUUUUGACCACUACUGCACAGGCACACCGCGGACAUCACAAAUAAAUAUGGUCCCCGUUUUAAGACAAUUCCAUCAGGUAAAACGUUCAUUUACCGCACCUAACUAAGGUUAGCUACACCACACACUGCAGAGUGGGACUGGCUCCCUUUGUGAUCAUGUGCUGACUGGAAGCUAUGGCUUGCUGCUACCCUCAAGCCUCACAAGCCCCUCCAUAGCAAAGGAUGAAAAACCCCAGUGAAAAAUCAAAGCGCACACAGUGAAGUGUGGUGCC